GACUGUCCACUAAGGAAUACGUUGUGCAUCCUUGGAUCUUGGGGAGCCAAUGAAUCUCAGCCGCUGAGACAGAGAUCACAAGUAGGUGGAGAAAGGCAAG